rnacentral:rRNA from 1 species
AUUGCCCUAGUAACGGCGAGUGAAGCGGCAACAGCUCAAAUUUGAAAUCUGGCCUUCGGGUCCGAGUUGUAAUUUGUAGAGGAUGCUUUUGGUGAGGUGCCUUCCGAGUUCCCUGGAACGGGACGCCAUAGAGGGUGAGAGCCCCGUCUGGUUGGACACCGAUCCUCUGUAAAGCUCCUUCGACGAGUCGAGUAGUUUGGGAAUGCUGCUCUAAAUGGGAGGUAUAUGUCUUCUAAAGCUAAAUAUUGGCCAGAGACCGAUAGCGCACAAGUAGAGUGAUCGAAAGAUGAAAAGCACUUUGAAAAGAGAGUUAAAAAGUACGUGAAAUUGUUGAAAGGGAAGCGCUCAUGACCAGACUUGGGCUUGGUUGAUCAUCCAGGGUUCUCCCUGGUGCACUCUUCCAGUUCAGGGCAGCAUCAGUUCGCUGUGGGGGAUAAAGGGUUUGGGAAUGUGGCUCCCUCGGGAGUGUUAUAGCCCAUUGUGUAAUACCCUGUGGUGGACUGAGGUUCGCGCAUUCGCAAGGAUGCUGGCGUAAUGGUCAUCAGCGACCCGUCUUGAAACACGGACCAAGGAGUCGUCUUCGUAUGCGAGUGUUCGGGUGUUAAACCCCUACGCGUAAUGAAAGUGAACGCAGGUGAGAGCUUCGGCGCAUCAUCGACCGAUCCUGAUGUUCUCGGAUGGAUUUGAGUAAGAGCAUACGGGGCCGGACCCGAAAGAAGGUGAACUAUGCCUGUAUAGGGUGAAGCCAGAGGAAACUCUGGUGGAGGCUCGCAGCGGUUCUGACGUGCAAAUCGAUCGUCAAAUAUGGGCAUGGGGGCGAAAGACUAAU